UACGAAGGGGGGCUAGCGUUGCUCGGAUUGACUGGGCGUAAAGGGCGCGUAGGCGGUUCGUACAGUCAGACGUGAAAUUCCUGGGCUCAACCUGGGGGCUGCGUUUGAUACGUGCGGACUUGAGUGCGGAAGAGGGGUCGUGGAAUUCCCAGUGUAGAGGUGAAAUUCGUAGAUAUUGGGAAGAACACCGGUGGCGAAGGCGGCGACCUGGUCCGAUACUGACGCUGAGGCGCGAAAGCGUGGGGAGCAAACAGG
rnacentral:rRNA from 1 species